GUGGGAGACCUACCUGAUGCAGAUAUUAAACCUCCAGAAAAUGUACUGUUUGUGUGUAAAUUGAAUCCAGUGACCACAGAUGAGGAUCUGGAAAUUAUAUUCUCAAGAUUUGGGCCAAUAAGAAGUUGUGAAGUUAUUCGGGAUUGGAAAACAGGAGAGUCCCUCUGUUAUGCUUUUAUUGAAUUUGAAAAGGAAGAAGAUUGUGAGAAAGCAUUCUUCAAAAUGGACAAUGUACUUAUAGAUGAUAGAAGAAUACACGUGGAUUUUAGCCAGUCUGUUGCAAAGGUUAAGUGGAAAGGAAAAGGUGGAAAAUAUACCAAGAGUGAUUUCAAGGAGUAUGAAAAAGAACAGGAUAUAUCAUCCAAUUUGGUUCUAAAAGAUAAAGUAAAGCCCAAACAGGAGUAUCCUUAACAAAAAUCAGUUAAUCAGUGUGUAUUGAUCAUCUGCUCUUUAUAGAAUACUGUGUGAUAUGUUAAAAAAAGUCAUGAAGGCAAUUGAAGACAAGGUUCUUGAGUCUAGAUCAUUAGUGAAGGAAUAACUUAGUUUAUUGUUAUCAUUUGUCAUUACAUGUAUUUUGCUUUUUCAUAUACCCUGUAUUAUGGAGAAAAUUGGGUUUAAAGGAAGCUUUAGCCUAAAUCUUUUACCUUUCUUCUUAGCAGUAGGAAGUGCCUUAUUCCCAGGAGAUUUUAUUGUCUGCAUAUAGUAAUGUUUUAGAGUCCUUAUUAUCAGAAUUUUUCUGUGCCAAUCAUUCUCUUAUGUUUAAACUUCCUUAUCUAGAUAGUAAAAUCCUAUAGUUCUUUGUUACAAGAUUAGGUUGCUUUUUUCUGCCUAAUAUAUUGUCAUUUUAGAAACAAAGAUUUGUUAGGGAAAGAUUUUUGUGUGCAAGAGUUGACUUAGUAUUAAAAAGAAAUCCAUCGACUUGACCGACUGUAUCUGGUUCUUCCAAGUUUAGGUUGAGACAUGUCAAAAGCAAUGAAACAUACUGUUCAUAUUAUGUCAUUUUCAUUUAUUCAACUGAGUUUUCCCAUUAUAAAGUUAUCACUCCACACAUUGCAAAGGUGAUUUCUUUUUGAUCAUUUCUGGUAAAUGGUGUCUUUGUUUCCUAGUUGCUGUUGGUGUUUCAGAUGUUCCCUUUUCCUAUGGUAUGUAGGCAUUUCCUUUAUAAGCAUUCAUCAAGAAGAGAUGAGUAUCAGGUUGACCUUUAUAUAGUCAUGUUUAAGAUGUGUUGAAUGUCUGCAGUGCAUAAAGCAUUGUGAGGUGUUAGAGCUAGGUAAAGUCUGAAGGGCACUGCCAACAUCAGCAUACAGAGAAGUUUUCACAGGUAGUCUGAUCAACAGCGGAGGUUUAGUCUGAAAAGAGCAACAUUACAGGGUGUAUGAUUAAAAGCUCAAAAUCAUAAAAGGUAUGGAUGGAAUACCCUUGAGGGUUUUUUUUGUUGUUGUUUUGGCAGCGCUGGGGUUUGAACUCAGAGCCUUGUGCUUGCUAGGCAGGCGCUCCACCACUUGAACCACACCUUUUUGGUUUUAGUUAUUUUUCAGAUAGAGUCUCAUGCUUUUUGCCCAGAACUGACCUUGGACCUCAGUCCUCCCGAUCUGUGCCUGUCGAGUAGCUGGUGUUAUAGAAGUACACCAACAUGCUCAGCUUUCCAAAUAUUUGAAGUUAGCCACUAAUGACUGACUAGAAGAAAGGGGCAUGCAGCACAAAUAAAAGGAAGGACAGUUGUAAAGCAUAAAGUAAAGCCUUUUUCUCCCUGGAGGUAGUUCAGGCUGCAAAGAAGGAAUGUGUAGGUCUGGUAUGUAGCUCAGCUGUAAAGUGCUUGCCUACCAAGCACAGGCACUAAGUUUGAUCCUCAGCAUGCAAGAAACAAAACGAAAAAAGUAAUGCACAGUGCUGAGAUAUUUUAAAUGUGAGAAUUAAAAUGUUUUAAAUUUAAGAAGAUAGAUUGCUAAGAGUUAAGAAAGGAGAGUAAGCAUAUUUGAGAAUCCCUAGUCUAGUGCUGUCAGCAGAGCUUCUGCAGCAAUGAAAAUGAACCAUAUCUCUAGUGUGGCCACCAACCACAUAUGCCUGGUGAGUGUGUAAGAUGGACUGAGGAACUGAAUUUUUUUCUAACUUUUGUUUAAUUUCAGUUAAAGAACCACAUCUUGCUAGUAUUGAACAGUACAGCUUCUAGCCUUCUGAAGUUGAUGUAAAAGACAGGAUUUUGGAGGGAUUUGAUACCUUCUUAAAGUGUUGGUUUUAGUGGAGAGUGGAAGAUGGUGGAUAAGCAAGGAAAGAAGAGGUAUAAAUGUCUGGGUGAUAAAACAGGUAAUGAAUAAAUACUUACUUAGCAUCAGUUACAUCCCCAGUUUAGGAGUGAAGUUACUGUUCCUGCCCACAUGGAGCUUACAUUUUAUUGUUGGAGGAAUUAUCAUAACAUAAUUACCAUUAAUUAUGUCUAGGAUAUUGCAAAGAAGUACAUUUAUAAGAUCUGAGACUUAACAUUAAGGGUGAGGGGUUAAGAAAUACCCUCAAGUAACACUAAGGGAAGUAAAGUUAAAGCUGCAAUAGAUGGCUGAGUCACAUGCUGCCUUAAUUGUGAUCCAUCAUUUAAGAAAGUUAGGGUGCAGAUUGCUUAUCUGAGUCCCAGCCGAGGCUGUGAGA